rnacentral:rRNA from 1 species
GAUGAACGCUAGCGGCAGGCUUAAUACAUGCAAGUCGUGGGGCAGCAUGAGUAGCAAUACUUGAUGGCGACCGGCAACCGGGUGCGGAACACGUACACAACCUUCCGAUAAGUGGGGAAUAGCCCAGAGAAAUUUGGAUUAAUACCCCGUAACAUAUAGAGUAGGCAUCUUCUUUAUAUUAUAGCUUCGGCGCUUGUUGAUGGGUGUGCGUCUGAUUAGGUAGUUGGCGGGGUAACGGCCCACCAAGCCUACGAUCAGUAGCUGAUGUGAGAGCAUGAUCAGCCACACGGGCACUGAGACACGGGCCCGACUCCUACGGGAGGCAGCAGUAAGGAAUAUUGGACAAUGGGCGAAAGCCUGAUCCAGCCAUGCCGCGUGAAGGAUUAAGGUCCUCUGGAUUGUAAACUUCUUUUAUUUGGGACGAAAAAAGGGAAUUCUUUCCCACUUGACGGUACCAAGUGAAUAAGCACCGGCUAACUCCGUGCCAGCAGCCGCCGUAACAC